UUGUCAUAUCGAAGCGAUUUGUUUUGUUGCCGCGUUUUCGCGCGAUUUUAGAGAAAGAUGAGUCGAAAGACGAAAUGUUUUAGGAGAUGGAUUGGUAGGAUCUUCCUACGAAGACCUCCAAUUCGAGAGAGGUGUGAGCGGAGAGCGGAAGAGAGAAAUGAUCCUCCACAGAAUGCGGGCAUCCGGCACGAUUGUCGGAAAGUCCGAAGGAUCCAGACGUCGGUGGGAUUCCUUCGGGGAUCUCGAAGCAUCGUCCCGAACUUAUAGAGAGGGACAACCCCGAGAUAUAUUGGGAUUUAAAAAGAUAGCAGGAUUGAAAAAGGCUUUCGUUAAGAUCGAAAAGAUGUUGGAGAUCGAAGCAAAUUUCCAGCGCGCAAUGUUCGGAGGUCCUUCGCAAAGUAAGAAGAAGUUCGAGAUAAACCGGAACUUCUCUCGCUGUUGCUUCGGCAGGGUCUAGAAAUAAAAAACUCGUUUCUCUUACCAACGGCCUUUGGAAAGGUCCGACAAACAUCGGAUACAUCACCCGCGAAACAUUCCCGGGGUUUUUCAACCGCUCGGAUUUGAUACCAGAUCAUCGGAACGGUAGACGGAUCCUUUAACGGUCGUGUCCUUUAACUAUAAGAAUAGCCAGGUUAGGUCGCGCGAAACAUUAAUUAUUUACAAUGCGUUAAAAGAGCCAAUACGGAUCCAUCCAUUAAUUACGCGAACAGUUUACGAUCUCUCUUCCCGCCGCGUAGCGAUGUACUUUUGCACUCUACUUCCAUUUAAUUACGUUUACGAUAGACGGACCCCUAACACUGGAGGAAUAACUUAAAACAGUUGCGCGAGCAUUUUCUAUCCGACGGUUUAGUCGCCCGACCGGCGGCGGAUUUUUUUAAAAAACUCUUUCCUCUCGAGAUCACCGAGAGGGCUUUCUUUUAGCCAGCCGACAAUGGGCUGCCGGAGGGCGAGGGACGGGCGACGUAUCCCGACGGACCAUGGCGAAAAAUUUCUGGAGUUUUUCGACCCGUCCGGAUUUCCGGUUUCGACGAAAGCUGACGACUUAGCCGCGCGGUCCCGAGAAUUAACGGCGACGAAACGUAUUUAUUUUUGGUUACUGGCAACACCUAGACAAGACGGAAGAUGGCGGAACAGCGGCGUGUUCCGUACGUGAAGAAGCUUCCGUUUAAGUUUCGUCAUCCGAGAGUGUACGCUUACACGUUGACGACGAUCGCGAUAAGUAUUUUAUUCAGCAAGCCCAUCUACGAUGCGUUUAUUUUUCCACGUCUCCGAGUAAAUCAAGAGAAAUAUAAGCAAUUACGAGAAAAGAAAGAAGCGAUUAGAUGACAGCGGCGAUCGUUCUUAAAACUCGUAUUACGUAAAUUAGACCGAAGAGUUUAUUUUCUUCGUAAUAGUAAUAUUUAAUAAACACUUUAAUCGUUUAUAUAACAAUAGAUACGCCGAACGAACUGCCGGAUUACGAGAAUGUUAUUUGAUUAGAAAUUAAAUGAAUAUUCAAACGAUGCGAUAGAAAUUGUUCGGAAUGGACAGACGAUUAUAGAUGGAAUACGUAACCGUACAAUUUAAAAUCUUUAAUUUAUAUUUAUUAUUCUAAUCCGAAGAAUUGGAAAUAACGCCCUUUGUAAUUUUGUGUAUUUUUCCAUUCGUUCCGCUGUAAAAUAUAGUCUCAAAAAAAAAAAAAAAAAA
rnacentral:lncRNA from 1 species